rnacentral:rRNA from 1 species
AUUGAACGCUGGCGGCAGGCCUAACACAUGCAAGUCGAGCGGAUGAAGGGAGCUUGCUCCUGGAUUCAGCGGCGGACGGGUGAGUAAUGCCUAGGAAUCUGCCUGGUAGUGGGGGAUAACGUCCGGAAACGGGCGCUAAUACCGCAUACGUCCUGAGGGAGAAAGUGGGGGAUCUUCGGACCUCACGCUAUCAGAUGAGCCUAGGUCGGAUUAGCUAGUUGGUGGGGUAAAGGCCUACCAAGGCGACGAUCCGUAACUGGUCUGAGAGGAUGAUCAGCCACACUGGAACUGAGACACGGUCCAGACUCCUACGGGAGGCAGCAGUGGGGAAUAUUGGACAAUGGGCGAAAGCCUGAUCCAGCCAUGCCGCGUGUGUGAAGAAGGUCUUCGGAUUGUAAAGCACUUUAAGUGGGGAGGAAGAGCAGUAAGUUAAUACCUUGCUGUUUUGACGUUACCAAAAGAAUAAGCACCGGCUAACUUCGUG